AGCAUAGCGCCGGGACCGCAAUACCACCUCAGGCGGUUGACGAGGCGAGGGUAAUCGAAAGAUUCGGCGGAUACCCUCCGUGCCGCGGCAGCCCGUAAGGCGGCAGUCAAAAACCGAAGGAGACUUCGAAACAAAGCUGUUGUUAU
rnacentral:ncRNA from 1 species